GAUGAACGCUGGCGGCGUGCUUAACACAUGCAAGUCGAACGGUGAAGGCGGAGCUUGCUCUGCUGGAUCAGUGGCGAACGGGUGAGUAACACGUGAGCAAUCCGCCCCUGACUCUGGGAUAAGCGCUGGAAACGGCGUCUAAUACUGGAUACGAGCUGCGAAGGCAUCUUCAGCAGCUGGAAAGAAUUUCGGUCAGGGAUGAGCUCGCGGCCUAUCAGCUUGUUGGUGAGGUAAUGGCUCACCAAGGCGUCGACGGGUAGCCGGCCUGAGAGGGUGACCGGCCACACUGGGACUGAGACACGGCCCAGACUCCUACGGGAGGCAGCAGUGGGGAAUAUUGCACAAUGGGCGAAAGCCUGAUGCAGCAACGCCGCGUGAGGGACGACGGCCUUCGGGUUGUAAACCUCUUUUAGCAGGGAAGAAGCGAAAGUGACGGUACCUGCAGAAAAAGCGCCGGCUAACUACGUG
rnacentral:rRNA from 1 species